rnacentral:rRNA from 1 species
CAGCAGCAGCCACGGUAAUACGGAGGGCGCGAGCGUUACCCGGAUUUACUGGGCGUAAAGGGCGUGUAGGCGGCCUGGGGCGUCCCAUGUGAAAGGCCACGGCUCAACCGUGGAGGAGCGUGGGAUACGCUCAGGCUAGAGGGUGGGAGAGGGUGGUGGAAUUCCCGGAGUAGCGGUGAAAUGCGCAGAUACCGGGAGGAACGCCGAUGGCGAAGGCAGCCACCUGGUCCACUUCUGACGCUGAGGCGCGAAAGCGUGGGGAGCAAACCGGAUUAGAUACCCCGGUAGUCCCUGUCUCUUAUAC